rnacentral:lncRNA from 10 species
UUUUAUUUCAGCACGUCUGUUCCUGCUGACUUCGAAUGAUUGUCAAGUGGCUGGACUCAGAUGUUAGCCGUCUGUCAUUGCUGCUAAUAACAUAUUCAUGUACAAAAACAACAGAGGACUCCCUCUGUUGGGUGCAAUAACUUGAAUAGCUUGGGCCUCACUUCAGAGCUCUGUUAUUCCACAGGGGUAUCUAGGCAGCUGGAGCCCUCUGUGUUCCGGACUACAGAUUCGGGGACCCAAAGGUGAGUCCAACUCAUGUGACUUUUGUUCAUCAGUAGCACAGUAGAUUUGAUUGUUACUUUUCCUGAGCACUUACUCAAUUUCUAGCGACAACUUUUAUUUUCAUGGUCUGAACAUUUGAUGAUCUCUUUAAGCAACUGAUGGUUUAUAGAGGUAAUUGUCUCUGUUGAGUGAAAGGUGACAGAAUUUAGCUAGAAUCUCCUCUCUGUCUGUCUAUUUUUAGUUCAAAUCUAUUAAGAAUAUUAUGCCAACCAGGAAGUUAAUAUCUGGACUGGCGGGUUUUGUAUUUGUUGGUUUAUAUUUGACAUCUGACUGAAAUUUUAGAAAUGAAAUUAUAAGCUUUCUCUGUGAGUAUGUCUGUAUUUAGAAAGUCCUUUACUUCUCAUCGUGUGAGUGUAUAAUAUUUUUCUAUCUCCUGAUAAUAUCAAUAAGCUAGAUUAGGAAAUGUCUUAAAGAAUCUCUAGUCUGAUUUGCUUAGAGAUAAAUAAGCAUUUAUAUUGACUAAAUAUUCCUUUAUUAAGAAUAUCCCUUUAUGAAGAGAAAGAAAUUAAGAAAAUUGAACCUCUAAUACUUUCAGUGUGGGGAUUAAAAAAGGUAUUGUUAUAGAUAUUAACUCAGAAAUAAUUUAGAAAUCUAAUUUUAUGUAAUUUAGGUACUUUUUUGGCAAAUGAGUCUAGCUUAAUAAUUUUGAUUUAAUAAAUACAGCUAAGUUUUCUCUGAUUUAUCAGUGUUAAAUAUUGCAUAAGCACAGAUUUUGUUAUAUUUGUAAAUAUUUUUUAAACUUAUACAGAUUUACUAAUUGAGGAAG